rnacentral:antisense_RNA from 1 species
UGUGGGAGCUGGCUUGCCUGCGAUAGCUUUAGUGAAUUCACAAAAGCUAUCGCAGGCAAGCCAGCUCCCACA